GAUGAAGAACGCAGCGAAAUGCGAUAAGCAAUGUGAAUUGCAGAAUUCAGUGAAUCAUCGAAUCUUUGAACGCACCUUGCGCCUUUUGGUAUUCCGAAAGGCACACCUGUUUGAGCGUCAUGAAUACCUCAAUCUCCAUCUUUUCUUCGGAUUGAUGGGUGACUUGGAUGUUGAGCCCUGCUGGUAUGCUAUAUCAGCUGGCUUUAAACUUAUUAGCCGGCUCUGUACUGGAUCGGUUUGACUCGACGUGAUAAUAUUAUCGUUGAGGAUGCAUGUCUCAUGCAGCCGGAAAGUAUCAAAGCAGCUUCUAGCUUGCCUUUAGUGCACUUUUACAUUUUAGACCUCAGAUCAGGUGGGACUACCCGCUGAACUUAAGCAUAUCAAUAAGCGGAGGA
rnacentral:misc_RNA from 1 species